AUUGAACGCUGGCGGAAUGCUUUACACAUGCAAGUCGAACGGUAGAGGGGGCAACCCCUCGAGAGUGGCGAACGGGUGAGUAAUAUAUCGGAACGUGCCCAGUCGUGGGGGAUAACGUAGCGAAAGUUACGCUAAUACCGCAUACGAUCUAAGGAUGAAAGCGGGGGAUCGCAAGACCUCGCGCGAUUGGAGCGGCCGAUAUCAGAUUAUGUAGUUGGUGGGGUAAAGGCUCACCAAGCCAACGAUCUGUAGCUGGUCUGAGAGGACGACCAGCCACACUGGAACUGAGACACGGUCCAGACUUCUACGGGAGGCAGCAGUGGGGAAUUUUGGACAAUGGACGCAAGUCUGAUCCAGCCAUUCCGCGUGCAGGAUGAAGGCCCUCGGGUUGUAAACUGCUUUUGUACGGAACGAAAAGGUCUCUCUUAAUACGGGGGGCUCAUGACGGUACCGUAAGAAUAAGCACCGGCUAACUACGUGCCAGCCGCCGCCGUAA
rnacentral:rRNA from 1 species